UACGUAGGUGACAAGCGUUGUCCGGAUUUACUGGGCGUAAAGAGCGCGCAGGCGGUCGUUCAAGUCGAGUGUGAAAGCCCCCGGCUCAACUGGGGAGGGUCAUUCGAUACUGCGGCGCUUGAGGACUGGAGAGGAGACUGGAAUUCAUGGUGUAGCAGUGAAAUGCGUAGAGAUCAUGAGGAAGACCAGUGGCGAAGGCGGGUCUCUGGACAGUUCCUGACACUGAGGCACGAAGGCCAGGGGAGCAAACGGG
rnacentral:rRNA from 1 species